rnacentral:lncRNA from 1 species
AACGCGAAGCACCCCAUCUGAAGACGAGGCGAGCGGGCACGAUCCUGCCGGGUAAUUUUGGGGAAGGGGCAGUGAGGCCAUUAGAAGGGGCUGGGUUGGAUAGGGAGGCGGCGGGUGGUGCGUGCGACCGCACCUCUUCCCUUACCCAGUGACGGGCUUCACUGGCGAUGCCGGCGUAGCCGAGGCGCUGACGAAGGGUGAGCUAGGACAUGGCAGCGCGUCGGUUCCACUCCAGAUGCGAGGUUGUCCUCCUCAUGGACUACGCCACCGGGUGCGCUACCGCCGAGGUCGCCAUGCUACGGCGCGGACAUGGCUUCAGCCGAGGUAGAGCGUCAUGGUGUUGGGCGGAGUCGCUAUGGGGCAAGACCGUAGCAUGUGUGGUGGAGGCUAGUCGUGCCCUGGCGACUGGUGGCGUGCACUGGUUGUGUGUCCGGUAGUGUGAUUGACGGUGCGAAGAGGAAGGAGCGCGCGGGGAAGGAAGGAUUGUGGGGAGGAGAUGGAUGGCACAAUCACACGGGGAAGGAAGGAUCGCGUGGGGGAAGGAGCGCCGGUUGCGUGAUUGACGGUGUGGCGAGGGAUCGCAUGUAUGGGCAGACGGACGAACCAAAAUAAAGUUGCACCAAAAAAUAUCCACACUUUAUUCUUUUUAGUUGUAGG